GGUGCUAUCGUCUAGUGGUAGGACAGCACGUUGUGGUUUGUAGGCUAGUUUGAUAUUAGUCUAAUACCAGCACCCGUGCAAACGGCGGUUCGAUCCCGUCUGGUGCCA